ensembl:misc_RNA Y_RNA Y RNA
GAUCAGUAGGGAGAUAGUGAGUUAUCUCAAUUGAUGGUUCAGUCAGUUACAGAUAGAACUCCUUGUUCUGCUUUUCCUCCCUUCUCACUACUGUACUUUACUAGUCUUAG